AUCACCUGGGGAUCUUGUUAAAUUGCAGAUUCUGAUUCAGUAGGUCUGGGGUAAGGCCUAAGAGUCUGCAUUUCUAACUAGCUUCUAGGUGAUGUCCC
rnacentral:pre_miRNA from 1 species